UACGUAGGGCGCAAGCGUUGUCCGGAAUUAUUGGGCGUAAAGAGCUCGUAGGCGGUUCGUCGCGUCGGCUGUGAAAUCCCGGAGCUCAACUCCGGGUCUGCAGUCGAUACGGGCGGACUCGAGUUCGGCAGGGGAGACUGGAAUUCCGUGGUGUAGCGGUGAAAUGCGACAGUAUAAUCAGGAGGAACAGCCGGUGGCGGAAGGCGGGUCUCUGGGCAGUAACUGACGCUGAGGAGCGAAAGCGUGGGGAGCAAACAGG
rnacentral:rRNA from 1 species